rnacentral:rRNA from 1 species
UGACGAGUGGCGGACGGGUGAGUAAUGUCUGGGAAACUGCCUGAUGGAGGGGGAUAACUACUGGAAACGGUAGCUAAUACCGCAUAACGUCGCAAGACCAAAGAGGGGGACCUUCGGGCCUCUUGCCAUCGGAUGUGCCCAGAUGGGAUUAGCUAGUAGGUGGGGUAACGGCUCACCUAGGCGACGAUCCCUAGCUGGUCUGAGAGGAUGACCAGCCACACUGGAACUGAGACACGGUCCAGACUCCUACGGGAGGCAGCAGUGGGGAAUAUUGCACAAUGGGCGCAAGCCUGAUGCAGCCAUGCCGCGUGUAUGAAGAAGGCCUUCGGGUUGUAAAGUACUUUCAGCGGGGAGGAAGGCGGUGAGGUUAAUAACCUUGUCGAUUGACGUUACCCGCAGAAGAAGCACCGGCUAACUCCGUGCCAGCAGCCGCGGUAAUACGGAGGGUGCAAGCGUUAAUCGGAAUUACUGGGCGUAAAGCGCACGCAGGCGGUCUGUCAAGUCGGAUGUGAAAUCCCCGGGCUCAACCUGGGAACUGCAUUCGAAACUGGCAGGCUAGAGUCUUGUAGAGGGGGGUAGAAUUCCAGGUGUAGCGGUGAAAUGCGUAGAGAUCUGGAGGAAUACCGGUGGCGAA